rnacentral:rRNA from 1 species
AGUAAACGCUGGCGGUAGGCCUAACACAUGCAAGUCGAACGGCAGCACAGUAAGAGCUUGCUCUUACGGGUGGCGAGUGGCGGACGGGUGAGGAAUACAUCGGAAUCUACUUUUUCGUGGGGGAUAACGUAGGGAAACUUACGCUAAUACCGCAUACGACCUACGGGUGAAAGCAGGGGAUCUUCGGACCUUGCGCGAUUGAAUGAGCCGAUGUCGGAUUAGCUAGUUGGCGGGGUAAAGGCCCACCAAGGCGACGAUCCGUAGCUGGUCUGAGAGGAUGAUCAGCCACACUGGAACUGAGACACGGUCCAGACUCCUACGGGAGGCAGCAGUGGGGAAUAUUGGACAAUGGGCGCAUGCCUGAUCCAGCCAUACCGCGUGGGUGAAGAAGGCCUUCGGGUUGUAAAGCCCUUUUGUUGGGAAAGAAAAGCAGCAGGUUAAUACCCCGCUGUUCUGACGGUACCCAAAGAAUAAGCACCGGCUAACUUCGUG